CAUGUCGAGAGGAGAAUAUUUGUUCUUCCUGGCUUAACUACAGAGCGAUGGUCAUGAUGUUGCACUUUCUUGAACGGAGUCAUAUGGAGAUUAUGUGAGAUUGCAUCAGCAAGCUCCGACAGCUAUCAGUUUUCAACAUCGCUGGCAAGAGGACAAAAAAUAAUUUUACAGGGUCUGAAGCUUUUAGUUGUACCCACUUCAGAGCUUGAGUUUGAUUGGAACACAAGUUUUAUUGUCUGUUAACAUUGGU